rnacentral:rRNA from 1 species
UACAGAGGGUGCAAGCGUUAAUCGGAAUUACUGGGCGUAAAGCGCACGUAGGUGGAUAUUUAAGUCGGAUGUGAAAUCCCCGGGCUCAACCUGGGAAUUGCAUUCGAUACUGUGUAUCUAGAGUAUGGUAGAGGGAAGUGGAAUUUCCGGUGUAGCGGUGAAAUGCGUAGAUAUCGGAAAGAACACCAGUGGCGAAGGCGGCUUCCUGGACCAAUACUGACACUGAGGUGCGAAAGCGUGGGGAGCAAACAGG